rnacentral:rRNA from 1 species
GACGAACGCUGGCGGCGUGCUUAACACAUGCAAGUCGAACGGAAAGGCCCUGCUUGCUGGGUACUCGAGUGGCGAACGGGUGAGUAACACGUGGGUGAUCUGCCCUGCACUUCGGGAUAAGCCUGGGAAACUGGGUCUAAUACCGGAUAGGAGCCAUUUUUAGUGGGAUGGUUGGAAAGUUUUUGCGGUGUAGGAUGAGCUCGCGGCCUAUCAGCUUGUUGGUGGGGUAAUGGCCUACCAAGGCGGCGACGGGUAGCCGCACAGUGGGGGUGGGCGGCCACCUUGGGACUGAGAGACGGCCCCGAUGCCGACGGGAGGCAGCUGGGGGGAAGAUUGCACCAGGGGCGCAAGCCUGAUGCAGCGACGCCGCGUGUGGGAUGACGGUCUUCGUGUUGUAAACUCCUUUCGCUAGGGACGAAGCUUUUUGUGACGGUACCUAGAGAAGAAGCACCGGCUAACUACGUG